ACUUCCACCCCAGACCGUCGGAGGGCUCCGCCCAGAGUCUGAUGGAUUCUCACUCUGUUACCCAGGCUGGAGGGCAGUGGUGCGAUCUCGGCUCACUGCAACCUCUGCCUCCCAGGUUCAAGCAAUUCUCCUGCCUCAGCCUCCUGAGUAGCUGGGAUUACCGGCAUGUGCCACCACACCCAGCUGAUUUUUGUAUUUUUGGUAGAGACGGGGUUUCACCAUGUUGGCCAGGCUGGUCUCGAACUCCUGAGCUCAAGUGAUCCGCCCGCUUCAGCUUCCCAAAGUGCUGGGAUUAGGGGCAUAAGCCGCCGCGCCGGCCUGGACUUCUGACCUCUAAACAAUCACCUGGCCCUACCCAACACCCCACAGACACACCAUCCAUGUGCGCAACCAUGUGAGUCUGAAAUUACAGCAUUAGAAGUUCACUCCUUUGCUUUCUCUCAGAGUCAUGCUUUAAAACAUAAAAAUUGGGAGAAUUGACACAUUAUGCACACUCAUUCUGGGGUGUUAGAAACUUGUCAGCUGAGGCUGGUGAGGCGCCCUGGAAAGUGUGGGAAGAGGCACUUGGCAGUGACCAGCGACAGGCUCCCGGGCU
rnacentral:sRNA from 1 species